CGCGUAGGCGGGUUUGUAAGUCAGAGGUGAAAUCCUGCAGCUUAACUGCAGAACUGCCUUUGAAACUACAAAUCUUGAGUUUGGAAGAGAGAGACGGAAUUCCAGGUGUAGUGGUGAAAUACGUAGAUAUCUGGAAGAACACCAGUGGCGAAGGCGGUCUCUUGGUCCAUAACUGACGCUGAGGCGCGAAAGCGGUGGGGAGCAAACA
rnacentral:rRNA from 1 species